rnacentral:lncRNA from 1 species
GGAAAGUUCACCCAGAAGCAGUCUGGGCUCUCUCUCAAGGGGAAUAGGAAUGCAGGUCAUCGCAAGCCUGUUGAUCGCAUGGAUGCAGUUGUCACAAAUGAAUGGAAAACAGAGAUGCUUCAUGGAAUUUCAAUUACCUCAGGAAAAAAUCAGUGGAUUCUGACAAAGAUACAAAUUCUCAAAGGAUCUGAAUGUAUCCUUCAUUGGCG